rnacentral:lncRNA from 1 species
UUUAACUUGAGGCAUCAACGUUUACAUAUUUUUCCAAGCUGUUUUCAAAAAAUCGAUAGCGAUGACACACAUGCGGUUUCUAUCAUACUUGGUAUUUUUAAUAAUCGCUGUGAAUCGAAGCAUUACGGUCUAUGCUACAUUGAACACUCAAGUAUGUCACAUCGCUUCUUUUUUUGUUGACUACUUGAUUGAAGAUAAGAAGGUUGAAGUGCAGUUUUUCAAUUAUACGAGGGAACACAGUAAUAUGACAAAUUUAAAGUUUGAUCCAAAUAAUAAAGAACCACUAUAAUAGUUCAUGGAUUUCUUAGUACUCAUAAAGCCGAUUGGGUUGCAAAAUUGACGCAGAAGUUGCUUAGAUUGGAAGACAUGAAUGUUAUCGCUGUCGAUUGGUCUAAUGUUUUUUGUAAAGGACUCUCUUGUAUAUUAUAAAGGGACUGCUAGAAAAUCGAAAUUCGUUCCAGAGCAAAUCUACCUGUUUCUUUUAAAAUGGGCGAAGCAUAAAUCUGGAUAUAAAAUUAUUUGGCUACAUUUACACUUAAUUGGAUACAGUCUUAAAGCGCAUAUUCUUGGUGGAGUUACCAGAAAGUUAAAACCACACGUGAACGUGAAUCGAAUCACUGAAUUAGAUCCAGCUAAGCCAUAUUUUGAUGAAGCUGGUCAACAUCUCCGACUUUAUAAAUCUUGCGCUCAAUUCGUAGACGUUAUUCAUACAAACAGUGAUCCAAAGGCCGAUAAUUUUGGAAUAUAUGAACCACUUGGCAUGAUUUUUUUAAUUUCUAACCGUGCUUUCAUGUUACUCAAUCUGUGCAGCAUAUUUAUUUUUUACCUAUUCGUCAUAUAUCAAACGGUUUAAUGUUUUUGAAGGUCACAUUGAUUUUUACCCAAAUGGCGGUGACAGACAAUGCCGAUGCUCCAGUAUGAAAGUCCCAAUAUCAAUACCCACCAAAGAUUCAGAAUUCGUAAAAUGUUUUUCGAUUAUACGAUAACAUACUAUCGCGUUUCGAAGAUGCGGCAACAACAUGAUCUGUGACCACACGGGAUGCCCGGACUAUUUUGCUGAUUUAAUAUAAAGCGAAGAACCUUUUCUUGCAUGCAAAGUGGACUUUCCAAUUAAUAAAAGAAAUAAUAUCUGCGGUGGUUACAAGAGCCGCAGCAAGGGAACGUGGAUAGAAAUGGUAAUGAAUGCCUAUUUGUACAACGACUCUCGUUAUCACGGUACAUAUUACGUUGAUAUUUCGUGCAGCACACUCAUGAAGGGAAAACGAAAAUACUUGCUUAACCAUCACAAAUAAUACUCAAAUUAAUUUUAACUAUAACAAACAAAAAAUUCAAAAUUGAAAUGAAAACCGAAAGGUCUUGAAAAAUAAACUCAAAGCUAGAGAAUUUCAAGCAGCUCCUCAGGAAUGACGAUCGCAGACUCGACCACGAACUGUCCGCCCGACCGUCCGCAUACCCUCGGAAGGCACAAACCGAUGCUCCGCACACAUCAAAGAGCCCGUGGCCAAACGCGAUGCAAUUCGGAUGGCACAGCGAUGCGACCGUCAGCGCAUACACAAAGCGAUGCGGAUGGGGAUAGCAUACGAUAGAACGCAAGCGAGUUGGUGACGCCGUCAUUGGCCAAAGAGACAGGACGAGAGGCGAUCAACGUGUCGCUCGGAUAAACCUAACAUGCCCGCGUGUUCUCUACGCGACGGUUUGACUAGAUCAUAGUUACGUCAGGUAUAUGUUAAAGAAUCCGGUAUAGAGUAAAGCUAUGUUUUUUUGUGUCUGUAUAAAAUAAUUGAAAACACUGCGCAUAUCCAUCUCAA